ACGGCCAUAUUACGUUGGAACAUCGGUUCCCGUACGAUCACCGAAGUUAAGCAAAGACGAAGCUUGUCAGUACCUAGAUAGGUCACCCUUUGGGAAUACCAGGUGCUGUAAU